UUGGGCGUAAAGCGCGCGCAGGCGGUUCCUUAAGUCUGAUGUGAAAGCCCCCGGCUCAACCGGGGAGGGUCAUUGGAAACUGGGGAACUUGAGUGCAGAAGAGAAGAGUGGAAUUCCACGUGUAGCGGUGAAAUGCGUAGAGAUGUGGAGGAACACCAGUGGCGAAGGCGACUCUUUGGUCUGUAACUGACGCUGAGGCGCGAAAGCGUGGGGAGCAAACAGGAUUAGAUACCCUGGUAGUCCACGCCGUAAACGAUGAGUGCUAAGUGUUAGAGGGUUUCCGCCCUUUAGUGCUGCAGCAAACGCAUUAAGCACUCCGCCUGGGGAGUACGGCCGCCAGGCUGAAACUCAAAGGAAUUGACGGGGGCCCGCACAAGCGGUGGAGCAUGUGGUUUAGUUCGAAGCAACGCGAAGAACCUUACCAGGUCUUGACAUCUCCUGACGACCCUAGAGAUAGGGCGUACCCCUUCGGGGGACAGGAUGACAGGUGGUGCAUGGUUGUCGUCAGCUCGUGUCGUGAGAUGUUGGGUUAAGUCCCGCAACGAGCGCAACCCUUGAUCUUAGUUGCCAGCAUUCAGUUGGGCACUCUAAGGUGACUGCCGGUGACAAACCGGAGGAAGGUGGGGAUGACGUCAAAUCAUCAUGCCCCUUAUGACCUGGGCUACACACGUGCUACAAUGGAUGGUACAAAGGGCUGCGAGACCGCGAGGUUAAGCGAAUCCCAUAAAACCAUUCUCAGUUCGGAUUGCAGGCUGCAACUCGCCUGCAUGAAGCCGGAAUCGCUAGUAAUCGCGGAUCAGCAUGCCG
rnacentral:rRNA from 1 species